rnacentral:rRNA from 1 species
GGCGGAAUGUGUCAUGUAGCGGUGAAAUGCUUAGAUAUGACACAGAACACCGAUCGCGAAGGCAGCUAGCUAAGCUAUAACUGACGCUCAUGCACGAAAGCGUGGGGAUCAAACAGGAUUAGAUACCCUGGUAGUCCACGCUGUAAACGAUGAUUACUCGCUGUUGGCGAUACACAGUCAGUGGCUAAGCGAAAGUGAUAAGUAAUCCACCUGGGGAGUACGACGGCAACGUUGAAACUCAAAGGAAUUGACGGGGGCCCGCACAAGCGGAGGAGCAUGUGGUUUAAUUCGAUGAUACGCGAGGAACCUUACCUGGGCUCGAACGUAAGAUGACUGUAGGUGAAAGCUUACAUCUCUUCGGAGCAUUUUACGAGGUGCUGCAUGGUUGUCGUCAGCUCGUGCCGUGAGGUGUCGGGUUAAGUCCCAUAACGAGCGCAACCCCUACCCUUAGUUGCCAUCAGGUCAUGCUGGGGACUCUAAAGGAACUGCCUACGCAAGUAGUGAGGAAGGCGGGGAUGACGUCAAAUCAGCACGGCCCUUACGUCCAGGGCUACACACGUGCUACAAUGGCCGAUACAGAGGGCAGCUACCUGGUGACAGGAUGCAAAUCUCCAAAGUCGGUCUCAGUUCGGAUCGGAGUCUGCAACCCGACUCCGUGAAGUUGGAUUCGCUAGUAAUCGCGCAUCAGCCAUGGCGCGGUGA